rnacentral:rRNA from 1 species
UUGAACGCUGGCGGCAUGCUUUACACAUGCAAGUCGAACGGCAGCGGGGGCUUCGGCCUGCCGGCGAGUGGCGAACGGGUGAGUAAUGCAUCGGAACGUACCCAGUCGUGGGGGAUAACUACGCGAAAGCGUGGCUAAUACCGCAUACGCCCUGAGGGGGAAAGCGGGGGACCUUCGGGCCUCGCGCGAUUGGAGCGGCUGAUGUCGGAUUAGCUGGUUGGUGGGGUAAAGGCCUACCAAGGCGACGAUCCGUAGCUGGUCUGAGAGGAUGAUCAGCCACACUGGGACUGAGACACGGCCCAGACUCCUACGGGAGGCAGCAGUGGGGAAUUUUGGACAAUGGGCGCAAGCCUGAUCCAGCCAUGCCGCGUGAGUGAAGAAGGCCUUCGGGUUGUAAAGCUCUUUCAGACGGAAAGAAACGGUUACGGAUAAUACCUGUGACUAAUGACGGUACCUUCAGAAGAAGCACCGGCUAACUACGU